ensembl:lncRNA
UCACACUAUUCAUACUAUUCACACUAUUCACACUAUUCAUAUUAUUCAUAUUAUUCACACUAUUCAUACCAUUCACACUAUUCAUACUAUUCACACUAUUCACACUAUUCAUAUUAUUCACACUAUUCACACUAUUCAUAUUAUUCACACUAUUCAUAUUAUUCACACUAUUCAUACUAUUCAUAUUAUUCAUAUUAUUCACACUAUUCAUACCAUUCACACUAUUCAUACUAUUCAUAUUAUUCAUAUUAUUCAUAUUAUUCACACUAUUCACACUAUUCAUAUUAUUCACACUAUUCAUAUUAUUCACACUAUUCAUACUAUUCAUACUAUUCAUAUUAUUCACACUAUUCACACUAUUCAUAUUAUUCACACUAUUCAUAUUAUUCACACUAUUCACACUAUUCAUAUUAUUCACACUAUUCAUAUUAUUCACACUAUUCACACUAUUCAUAUUAUUCACACUAUUCAUAUUAUUCACACUAUUCAUACUAUUCAUAUUAUUCAUAUUAUUCACACUAUUCAUACCAUUCACACUAUUCAUACUAUUCAUAUUAUUCAUAUUAUUCACACUAUUCAUACCAUUCACACUAUUCAUACUAUUCACACUAUUCACACUAUUCAUAUUAUUCACACUAUUCAUAUUAUUCACACUAUUCAUACUAUUCAUACUAUUCAUAUUAUUCAUAUUAUUCACACUAUUCAUACCAUUCACACUAUUCAUACUAUUCAUAUUAUUCAUAUUAUUCACACUAUUCAUACCAUUCACACUAUUCAUACUAUUCAUACUAUUCACACUAUUCAUAUUAUUCACACUAUUCAUACUAUUCAUACUAUUCACACUAUUCAUAUUAUUCACACUAUUCAUACUAUUCACACUUCAUACUAUUCAUAUUAUUCACAUUAGUCAUACUAUUCAUAUUAUUCACACUAUUCACACUAUUCACACUAUUCAUAUUAUUCACACUAUUCACACUAGUCACACUAUUCACACUAUUCAUAUUAUUCAUAUUAUUCACACUAUUCACACUAGUCACACUAUUCACACAAUUCAUAUUAUUCAUAUUAUUCACACUAUUCAUACCAUUCACACUAUUCACACUAUUCAUAUUAUUCACACUAUUCAUAUUAUUCACACUAUUCAUACUAUUCAUACUAUUCAUAUUAUUCAUAUUAUUCACACUAUUCAUACCAUUCACACUAUUCAUACUAUUCAUAUUAUUCAUAUUAUUCACACUAUUCAUACCAUUCACACUAUUCACACUAUUCAUAUUAUUCACACUAUUCAUAUUAUUCACACUAUUCAUACUAUUCAUACUAUUCAUAUUAUUCAUAUUAUUCACACUAUUCAUACCAUUCACACUAUUCAUACUAUUCAUACUAUUCACACUAUUCAUAUUAUUCACACUAUUCAUACUAUUCAUACUAUUCACACUAUUCAUAUUAUUCACACUAUUCAUACUAUUCACACUUCAUACUAUUCAUAUUAUUCACAUUAGUCAUACUAUUCAUACUAUUCACACUAUUCACACUAUUCAUAUUAUUCACACUAUUAAUACUAUUCAUAUUAUUCACACUAUUCACACUAUUAAUACUAUUCAUAUUAUUCACACUAUUCAUACUAUUCAUACUAUUCAUAUUAUUCACAUUAGUCAUACUAUUCAUAUUAUUCACACUAUUCACACUAUUCACACUAUUCACACUAUUAAUACUAUUCAUAUUAUUCACACUAUUCAUACUAUUCAUACUAUUCAUACUAUUCAUACUAUUCAUAUUAUUCACACUAUUCACACUAUUCACACUAUUCACACUAUUCACACUUCAUACUAUUCAUAUUAUUCACACUAUUCAUACUAUUCAUAUUAUUCACACUAUUCAUACUAUUCACACUAUUCAUACUAUUCACACUAUUCACACUAUUCAUAUUAUUCACUCUUUUCAUACUAUUCAUAUUAUUCACACUAUUCACACUAUUCAUAUUAUUUACACUUCACACUAUUCAUAUUAUUCACACUAUUUAUACUAUUCAUAUUAUUCACACUAUUUAUACUAUUCAUAUUAUUCACACUAUUCAUACUAUUCAUACUAUUCAUAUUAUUCACAUUAGUCAUACUAUUCAUAUUAUUCACACUAUUCACACUAUUCACACUAUUCACACUAUUAAUACUAUUCAUAUUAUUCAUACUAUUCAUACUAUUCAUACUAUUCAUAUUAUUCACACUAUUCACACUAUUCACACUAUUCACACUAUUCACACUUCAUACUAUUCAUAUUAUUCACACUAUUCAUACUAUUCAUAUUAUUCACACUAUUCAUACUAUUCACACUAUUCAUACUAUUCACACUAUUCACACUAUUCAUAUUAUUCACUCUUUUCAUACUAUUCAUAUUAUUCACACUAUUCACACUAUUCAUAUUAUUUACACUUCACACUAUUCAUAUUAUUCACACUAUUUAUACUAUUCAUAUUAUUCACACUAUUUAUACUAUUCAUAUUAUUCACAUUAUUCAUACUAUUCACAACUAUAA